rnacentral:tRNA from 1 species
GCGGAAGUGGCGGAAUAGGUAGACGCCCGGGCCUUAGGAGCCCGUGCUGGCGACAGCGUGCGGGUUCGAGUCCCGCCUUCCGCA